GAUUUUUUUUUUUAAAUAAAGGCAAGGGUGCAGAGAAGGGUGCUACCCUUUUAAGGCCACACAGAGGGGAGCGGGUGAGACAGGCACAGGGCUGGCAGACUUGGUUACAGCCCUGGUGUGAGCUGGCCCGAGCCAUGGCCUCUUCUGCCCAAGAUGAACUUGGCGCAUUCUCGUUUCUCUGCCCAGCAUCUGUGGCUGCGGCAUCAUGAGGCACCUGCAUCCAACCUUGCAAGCAGCAAUCCUAUCACCAUGGUCUUGGCUUUGCUGUCUCCAGCGCUGCCAGAAGAGCUGGGCCUGCAGAUCCCGGGCGUUAAAAUGCCUCUGGAGCCAGUUCCUGGGGGUGGCCCAGAUCUGCUGGCUGAUACAGAGAGGGAUGGGCCUGUGCCCCCACAAUCCCCUUUCAGAACACCCCUGCCCCAGUGCAGAAGUGGGGAGGACUCCUUGCACCUCCAAUGCUCUGUGUACCCCAGGGCGGUGCCAUGUGCUGGUGCAUUUAGAUUGAGACAGGGGCCUGGCACACCGCACUCUGGCCCUCCCCAUGUGGGAGUUGGCAGGGGCAUGGUUACCCCUUUGGAGCAGUUGUUGCUCCUGUGUAUUGCACUUAUAUUCUGCUCUCCGUGUUGUGAGCCCCGUCCCUUGUGUUCCUACAUCCAACAGCCGCUCCAAUUACCAGGGAGCAUUUCUAGGCUCUCCUCCCGGGAGUGUCGUGUUCCCGGCGCAGCACAUCCUGCUAGCUUGCAGCAAGGAUGGAGAGCUUCGUCCAACACUGCACGAUCUCCACGCCCUGCCUGCCCCCUCCAUUACUCGGCUCCAGCCUUCCCCUCCCUGCAGGUUCUAGACUCCACAUCUUCCCUCUGUGUACUCGACUCCAGACUUCCCCUCCCUGCAGGUUCUAGACUCCCCACCCAUUCCUCCCUUCUCAUCCUCCACUCCCUGCCCACUCCUUCCUCCACAUCCAUGGCUCCUAGCAGGUGGCAUGGGUUCCCCACAGUGCAUUGAUGCUAGAGAGCUGCACAGCGCCCUGCUUGCAUCACAAGGCCUAGUCCUUGGAGCGUGAGCUCUUCGGGGCAGGGACUCAUAUGGAUACAGCACCUAGCACAAUGGGGCCCUAGUGCGGGCUUGAUG
rnacentral:lncRNA from 1 species